UUAGAUACCCCGGUAGUCCCAGCCGUAAACUAUGCUCGCUAGGUGUCAGGCAUGGCGCGACCGUGUCUGGUGCCGCAGGGAAGCCGUGAAGCGAGCCACCUGGGAAGUACGGCCGCAAGGCUGAAACUUAAAGGAAUUGCGGGGAGCACCACAACAGGUGGAGCCUGCGGUUUAAUUGGACUCAACGCCGGGAAGCUCACCGGAUAAGACAGCGGAAUGAUUGCCGGGCUGAAGACUCUGCAUGACUAGCUG
rnacentral:rRNA from 1 species